rnacentral:rRNA from 1 species
AGUGAACGCUGGCGGUAGGCCUAACACAUGCAAGUCGAACGGCAGCACAGUAAGAGCUUGCUCUUACGGGUGGCGAGUGGCGGACGGGUGAGGAAUACAUCGGAAUCUACUUUUUCGUGGGGGAUAACGUAGGGAAACUUACGCUAAUACCGCAUACGACCUACGGGUGAAAGCAUCGGAUCUUCGGACCUUGCGCGAUUGAAUGAGCCGAUGUCGGAUUAGCUAGUUGGCGGGGUAAAGGCCCACCAAGGCGACGAUCCGUAGCUGGUCUGAGAGGAUGAUCAGCCACACUGGAACUGAGACACGGUCCAGACUCCUACGGGAGGCAGCAGUGGGGAAUAUUGGACAAUGGGCGCAAGCCUGAUCCAGCCAUACCGCGUGGGUGAAGAAGGCCUUCGGGUUGUAAAGCCCUUUUGUUGGGAAAGAAAAGCAGCAGGUUAAUACCCCGCUGUUCUGACGGUACCCAAAGAAUAAGCACCGGCUAACUUCGUG